rnacentral:tRNA from 3 species
GGCGGCGUAGCUCAGUCGGUAGAGCAAACGGCUCAUAAUCGUUAUGUCACCGGUUCAAGUCCGGUCGCCGCUA